rnacentral:rRNA from 1 species
UACGUAGGGUGCAAGCGUUGUCCGGAAUUAUUGGGCGUAAAGAGCGUGUAGGCGGCCCGAUUAGUCCGCUGUGAAAGUCCAGGGCUCAACCCUGGAAUGCCGGUGGAUACUGUCGGGCUAGAGUCCGGAAGGGGCGAGUGGAAUUCCUGGUGUAGCGGUGAAAUGCGCAGAUAUCAGGAGGAACACCGGUGGCGAAGGCGGGUCUCUGGGCCGAUAUUGACGCUGAGGAGCGAAAGCGUGGGGAGCGAACAGG